GGAGCCGACCUUGAAAUACCACCCUUUAAUGUUUGAUGUUCUAACGUGGACCCGUGAUCCGGGUUGCGGACAGUGUCUGGUGGGUAGUUUGACUGGGGCGGUCUCCUCCUAAAGAGUAACGGAGGAGCACGAAGGUUGGCUAAUCCUGGUCGGACAUCAGGAGGUUAGUGCAAUGGCAUAAGCCAGCUUGACUGCGAGCGUGACGGCGCGAGCAGGUGCGAAAGCAGGUCAUAGUGAUCCGGUGGUUCUGAAUGGAAGGGCCAUCGCUCAACGGAUAAAAGGUACUCCGGGGAUAACAGGCUGAUACCGCCCAAGAGUUCAUAUCGACGGCGGUGUUUGGCACCUCGAUGUCGGCUCAUCACAUCCUGGGGCUGAAGUAGGUCCCAAGGGUAUGGCUGUUCGCCAUUUAAAGUGGUACGCGAGCUGGGUUUAGAACGUCGUGAGACAGUUCGGUCCCUAUCUGCCGUGGGCGCUGGAGAACUGAGGGGGGCUGCUCCUAGUACGAGAGGACCGGAGUGGACGCAUCACUGGUGUUCGGGUUGUCAUGCCAAUGGCACUGCCCGGUAGCUAAAUGCGGAAGAGA
rnacentral:rRNA from 1 species